rnacentral:lncRNA from 1 species
GCGCGGCGGCGCGGCUGGGUGAGCGGAGGCAGAGAGGAUCUUCGCACCCAGAGCCGAGGCUGUACGCGAGGGAGCGCAGCUCGGGGACGAGCCGCCUCCCCACCCCCGCGACGCCGUGCCCGGCUCCGGGGCGCAAGCGCUAUGGCAGGACCCCUUUCCCUUCUUCUAGCUCUUCUGAGAACCCUGGAGGGUAUACACAUUCCAACUGGGAGAUCCAUUUGAUUUCUGCUUCAAGUUAAGAUGUUUUGUAUCUUUACCAUAAAGUGAUUGAUGAUUAGAAGCUGAGGAGAAUUGAUAACACAAGAAGAUAAUGCAUUUCGAAGAGGUUUUGGAAACAAACAGCAACAGAAAAAGAUUCUUCGCUAACUUUUGAGAAAGAAAUGAUCUCAAAAUACC